UUUUCUAAUGAUGAUAAAAUACCGCCCCAGACUGAAUAUCAUGUUGAUUGGUUUUAUCUGAUGACU